CCACAAGGGGUGCGGCGUGCGGUUUAAUUCAACUCAACGCGGAAAAUCUCACCAGAGGCGACAGCAAGAUGAUGAUCAGUCUAAAGGGCUUAUCAGAUGAGCUGAGAGGUAGUGCAUGGCCGUCGCCAGCUCGUGCUGUGAAGUGUCCAGUUAAGUCUGGCAACGAGCGAGACCUGUGCCCUCUAUUGCUAACGAUUGCUACGGCAAGAUCGAGCACAUUGAGGGGACUGCCCAGGAAACAGGGAGGAAGGUGCAGGCUACGGUAGGUCUGUAUGCUCCGAAUCUUCUGGGCUACACGCGCGCAACAAUGGUGCAGACAAUGGGAUGCAACACCGAAAGGUGAAGCUAAACCUCUAAACUGCAUCUUAGUCCGAAUUGAGGGCUGUAACUCGCCCUCAUGACGUUGGAAUCCCUAGUAAUCGGUCCUCACCACAGACCGGUGAAUAUGUCCCUGCUCCUUGCACACACCGCCCGUCGCUCCAUCCGAGUGUAGUAUGCUUGAAAGAUGGUCCUUUGGGUCAUUUUGAGAGCGUACUACGCAAGGAGGGAGAAGUCGUAACAAGGUAGCCGUAGGGGAACCUGCGGCUG
rnacentral:rRNA from 1 species